ACACAUGGCCUAAACAACCUAAAAUCACCAGGCGUCAUCUGAUCUUGGAAAGCUAAGAAGGCUCAAUCCUGGUUAGCCCUUGGGUGGGAACCCACCAAUGAGUCCAGGGGCUUUAUUUC
rnacentral:rRNA from 11 species